AGCGAACGCUGGCGGCAGGCCUAACACAUGCAAGUCGAACGAACUCUUCGGAGUUAGUGGCGCACGGGUGCGUAACACGUGGGAACGUGCCUUUAGGUUCGGAAUAACUCACCGAAACUUGUGCUAAUACCGGAUGUGCUCUUCGGGCGAAAGAUUUAUCGCCUUUAGAUGGGCCCGCGUUGGAUUAGCUAGUUGGUAAGGUAAAGGCCUACCAAGGCGACGAUCAGUAGCUGGUCUGAGAGGAUGAUCAGCCACAUUGGGACUGAGACACGGCCCAAACUCCUACGGGAGGCAGCAGUGGGGAAUAUUGCACAAUGGGCGAAAGCCUGACGCAGCCAUGCCGCGUGAAUGAUGAAGGUCUUAGGGUUGUAAAGUUCUUUUACCCGGGACGAUAAUGACGGUACCCGGAGAAGAAGCCCCGGCUAACUUCGUG
rnacentral:rRNA from 1 species